UUCUGUUACAGCAACAGGGAGGGAAGAUAAGACAGAGUGGACGGUGCAGACAGCUCCAUGAUCCCUUCUUCCACCUUGGGUUGCUUUCCCGGCACUCACCCAUCUCUGAUACAGAAUUUUCCAAACCUGCCCGUGCCUGAUCACAUGACCGGGGCCUUGCUUGUUCAACUCCUCGGCCUCAGGACCUUAACCUGACCGCAAGCUUGCCGCUCCGUAAGUCUCUUGCUUCCUUCCACACAGCCAAGGUGUCUUAGGAAGCACACUGGAAGGCCUGAGGCCAGUCUCUCAGAGAACAUUCAGAUGAAGCUGAGGCAGGGGCCUGGUGUGUCUGCUGUUCUGCAAGUGAAGGGAGCGGAUUGGAAAGAACAAAAGCAGCAGAGCAUCGUACCGCUUGAGGAGCACUGCACUGCUGGGGGGAGCACCGCACCGCUGGGGGAGCACCAUGCUGCCCGCUGGGGAGGAUCUGCUCGCUCACAAGGCAGAGAACAGAAGCCUGCUGGGGGCUUCCCCACCUCCCCAGCUGAAGGCUCAUCUGAGAGAACUUGCCGAGCACACUGAUCAUGGUGUUCCCCAUCCCCUUGCUUCUUGAACAAAAAUAUAGGAAGCAGAGCAAUCUCCUUCUUCACCCACAAUAGCACAAAGGCUGAUGAUGUGAGGUCAUCUCCCGCCUAGGAGUGAUCUCUCUUCAUGUCACUAAGGUGCAAACCAGACAUGGCUUCCCUAUAGUGAGGUGAGAACUGGCUCGGGUCCCACUGUGUCUUCCCCAGGAGCCUUUCCUUCCUCUAUAACUGCUCCAAACUCCAGGCAGAUGACCCACCCGCCACCCCACAGCCUCUGAGGGUGUAACUCCGCCCUAAGGUGGGAGUGUCUAGCAGGGGCUACUUCCUGCCAGCCACAGGGCCAGGCUGCCGGUCUGAAGGCUCCUGAGCCACGGAGGGUGACGUGCCCUGUGACUCAGCAUGGUGACAGAUGAGAAUUAAUUCUAGACUCAACAUUAGACAGGAGCUCUUAGACAAGUCUGGGGCAGGCUGAGUCAAUCCCAGUGAGAAACGCAGGAGUCACCCGUGAAGUCCAGGGCAGGGGAAAUCCUGGAAAAACACCCGUGGCCUGAGGGCUGGGAUGUCGCUCAUCUGGGAGAACCUUGCCUAGCACGCAGGGGUCCUCGGUCCCCAGCAUUUCAAACCUAUGACCCCAACACUCAGGAGGCAGAGGCGGCAUUACGGUCUAGUUCAUCUUGGCCUGCACAGUCUGAGGCCAUGGUGGGCUGGAGAGACCCUCUCAUGAAAAUAAAGAAUUCAUAGCCUGGGCUGGGGGACAGUUCUCUGAGCUCUGUCCUGGCUUACACCUGUCUGCCCACAUCUCCUACCGUCCAGCUGACAUCCUUUACCAAGGGAGGAUGGUCGAUUCAUGACUUCCUGGAAUAUUAGGUGGCUGGGGGUAGGGAGCACGACUCAGAAUCCAGUGCUCAAAACUACUGCCCUCCCCCAGCCCAGAUGCGUGAGAGGGGAGUGGGCUGUGGAAACGCUAGCCCUGUAAACACGAGGCUGUUAGGAGUCGUCAGUGGUGGGAAGGUUGUUGUGACCGUGGGAGAGCAGGUGUUGGGGGAUCUCUACUUUCGGUUCCGUGUUGGUGCAUACUGUUCUGAGAAAUACAUUCUACUUAAAAACAUCAAAGCCGGUAAGCCUCAUGGUGACGUUACACAACUUUAAUCCCAGCACUUAGGAGACAGAAGUAGGCAGACAUCUUUGAGUGAGUUUGAGGCUAGCCUGAUCUACAAAUCAAGUUCUAAGAUAGCCAAGACUACAAAGAGAAAUCCUAUCUCAAAAAACCAAAAUAAAUAAUAAUUAAUAAUAAUAAUAAUAUAAAAAUAGGUAGAUGAUAGUGAAAGGAUAAAAAAAUAAUACAGCCUAACUCUAAUGACCCCAAGAAGUCAGAAGUUUAAAAUGCUAUCUCGCUCCAAAGAAGCUCUAACUCCAGCCUUCUAAGGAGCCCCAAAUACUUCACAUUCCAGAGCCCGCUCUUUGUUAGAAACUAGGUAAAAGGUCAUAGUCUAGAGCCCGCCCUUUAAGAGCUAGGCAAAAAGGCCUUGAAUAGGUGAUCCUGGCCCCGUAAGGUAGCUGGAAAUGAGCUAAUUAUUUGCUGAUCUUGCUUCUGUAAACUGCUUACACCAUUAGCCACAUCCAGGAGUUCACACAGCUAUAGACCUCCAAGAAAAUAGGAAACUAAUUGGUCCACGGAGUACGGGCUCUGAUAAUUUAAACCGAUUGGCCUAAAAACUAUAGAGUGGUACAAAUCGAUUGGUUCGCACUACGCAGGCUCUCGGUGCUAAGGAAUGAUUGGUUUAUGAUUUGAGGGCUUUGUUGUAAACUUAUAAAAGCUGUCAAAUUCUGCACUUGGGGUCCACAGUCCUCUACCCCUGUGCGGUGUAUGGCUAUGGAACCCAGAAUGCUGGAAUAAAGACCCUCAUGUUAUUGCAUCGA